rnacentral:lncRNA from 1 species
UUACUGCUCAUCCCCUGUCUGACCACAGAUGACCAUCUGUGAGUCACGAGUUGUUAACAAGAGAGCUGCUUAUUUGCUCCCAGGGGCAUCCAUAGAUGGCCACAGUCUGCGGAAGGGAAGCCGAGUUCAGAAGCUUGUUCUUAAGUAGUUGGAAGCCCUCCCUAGGGGAGUAGAUGUUCAGAAGAAGAUAUGCAGACUCAGGUCACAUGAAAUGAAUAAGCCAUUUCUUUCACAUAGGAAAACAGAAAUCAGGUUUGAUUUGGUAUAUUCAGGAAAAACUCUAGUUCUUUCAAGGCAGCAACUGACACAACUUUUGGAAAAACAAGAGCUGAUUUCUGAGCAAUCUAGGCCAGCCCUGGCAAGGCUGACCUAUGAGAACUCCAACUGAGCACUGUGAGCUGAGAGCCUUCUGCAGCCCAUGGGCGCCAGGCAGCUGCUUUUCCUACAUUGCUUCUCCCACCCACCCUGAGAGGUGGCUUGCCAUUAGACUUGCAGUGCCUAAUUAAGGCCUUCAGGAGCAGAGAUGGAAUGUACUAGACUGUGAGUUCAGGUUUUUCUGACUCUAGAGCCUGUGCUGGAGAGAACUGUAACCUAACAGGCUAUAUAGUCCAGAGGGGGACACGUGGACUCUGACAUCACAACUUUCUGUGAACCAUGCCCUCUACAGACGUGCUCUGCUAUGAAUGAAGCCUUUCUUCUCUACCCAUGAAUUCUACAGCAUUGUGAACAUACCUCUAUUAUAACAUGACUGAAUAAUGUCUCAUUUUUUACGUGAACUGAUUUUUUUAUAAGAUUAUGAACUUCUUGAAUGGAAGAACCAUGUCUCAUUGUUCCCUAUACCUUCACUGCCUAGCCCAGUGCCUGAGAGACAGCGACUUUCCACCAAGAACACCAUUGUGUAGAGGCACCUACUGUGCCAGGCACUGUUGGAGGCACUGGGGAUGAAUCAGCAAGCAAGACAGAAGGUCCCUGCACUCACAUAACUUACUGCUCAGACCUGAGAUCCUGGCAGCAGAACACUGUG